GGGGAUCGGGGCCGGGGCCCCUGUGCCUGGGGAAGGGCAGGGACGAGGGCUCCCCCCAUCCCAGGUGGCCCUGACUUUCCGGAGAGAGUGUGGGGAGGAGGUCACAGAGUUGUGAGGAAGGGGAGAUGCCAUGUGGUGACUGUCCAGCAGGGGAAGUCAGAGCAGGAUCCAGUGGCCAGAUGCUGAAACUGGAAAAAUUCAGAUGAGAGAGAAAGUGGAAAUUUUUCACUGAGGGUGAGUAACCAUUGCAACAGUUUACCAAGGGCUGCGGUGCAUUCUCCAGCACUUGAAGCGUUUGCAUCAAGAUGGCUGCCUUUCUAAGGGAUCUGCUCUAGUCUGGACAUGGUGAAGGAAUCAGAGGGUGAUGCUCCAGCCUGUGCUGUGCAGGGUCAGCAUGGCCCUUUGGCCUUAUUAUCUGUUGGGCUCAGACAACAUGGGAAAUGGGGUGUUUGAUGGAAAAUACCUUGUUUUUAAAGAGCUUAGACAGUUUAAAAUGGAAGGGUCGUUAGACUAUUGUGGAAAAUCCAGUGUCAUCCUCUUUUGGGAGUAAGAAAUGGGAGGUUGAAGAUGUCCUUCACUUACUUUGUAGUUUUCCAGUUUCUUAGAGAUUGUAUAAAAUGGGGACAGAGACCUUUAACUGACAUUAAAUGACAUUUUGUUCUGUGUGAAUUAGUCUUAGGACGGGCUAGGUACCACCUCUGUAUUAAUAAAGUACUUUAUAAAAACGUAGAGCGCAGGCCAUAGAAUUAUUAUGUUAUAAUGGUUCAACACAGAAACUAUUACAAAGGUGACAAAAUAAACCACUUACUCACCUUAUAUGCUUUUUGUCAUGUGCUGAAUCUAUGGAGAACAAUUUUACUCCUGCCAGUACACUGAAAUGCCAUCAUAAAGCACACACUAAGUGCUCGAGACUGUAGACUUUAAAGAAUCUUUGUCCAAUCUGCUGAGAAGCACAUCCUCACAGCCGCUGACGUUCAGAUUGCUGCAGCUGGAGGAGGAGUUCCAUGGAUGGGUGAACUCUAGGUGUGCAAUUAUCUCUGGGGGAUUCUCUUCAGAGCAGUGUGGCCGAGUGGAUAGAGCAAUGGAUUGCGACUGCUGAGACCUGGGUUGUCUUCCUGGCUCUUCCCCUUCUGCUUGGGUUUGCUUGGGCAACUAGUUUCCCCCUUUUUGUGCCUCCGUUUCCCCAUUCAUUAAAUGGGCAUCAUGCUCUGAAGUUCUUUGAGAUCUAUGAUGAAUAGUACCAGGGGUUAAAGUGCAGGGCUCCCUUCAGCUCCCAGUGGCCCAGAAUAUCAAAGCCCUGCUCCUCUGCUGUGGAUGAUUCAGUUUUUCUCUAAAGUCAGACAUUCAGCAGCCGCUCUCCUUUUCCUCUGCUGACACCAUUUGCUGGCACAACUUGCUGCUGCCCUACCAUGACCCAUGCCAAUGCUGGGAAGGGCAGAAGUUGGGGUUUGUGUCUCUGCGAAAUGCAGCAACAUCUGCCUUCCUGGGUCCCUUCGCUAGGCUGUGUGCAGGGGUGAGAUGUCAUUUAAGCUACUGACACAAUGUACUUGUGGCACUACAUACUGCUAAUGGGAUGACUCUUCGCCUUCGUGUACCUGGGACAGGGGCAAUAUGUACUGGUGGUCGGGGGGGGGGCCACACGACAGCCAGUUCCCAGUAGCUCAGCCCCUUCUGUGUAUUACUGUAGCGUGGAAGGACCCCAGUCAUGGUAGGUGCUGCACAGUGAACAACAGCACCGCCCCUGCCCCCAGAAGCUCACAGUCCAAGUGUAAGGCACAGGCCAAGAGAUGGAUACCGAGCGAUGUGGGAGGACAAGGAAGUCAGCAGGAUGUGCACUAGGCUCAGCUCACCAGGAGCCUGUCUGGUUUUUUGUAGGGCUCACAGCCAAAGAGAGUUCUGUGGAGGGAUGUGAAGGUAGCUAACAAGGCUUCUGAAGGCUCCAGUUCCUGCAGGACUUGUGGUUGCACCCUGCUGCUUUUCUGAUGACCCGCGAACCUGACAGCACCUCAGCUGUAUCUUCCCGACAUCCUCCGGGUCGCAGGGUGGCGCAGAGAAAUUGGUGUGGCCUGGUGGCCAGCGCACAGGCUGGCCCUUAGACUCUAUUCCCAGCU